GCCUACGGGGCGCAGCAGUGGGGAAUAUUGGGCAAUGGGCGCAAGCCUGACCCAGCAACGCCGCGUGAAGGAAGAAGGCUUUCGGGUUGUAAACUUCUUUUAAGAGGGAAGAGCAGAAGACGGUACCUCUUGAAUAAGCCACGGCUAACUACGUGCCAGCAGCCGCGGUAAUACGUAGGUGGCAAGCGUUGUCCGGAUUUACUGGGUGUAAAGGGCGUGCAGCCGGAGAGACAAGUCAGAUGUGAAAUCCACGGGCUCAACCCGUGAACGGCAUUUGAAACUGUCAGUCUUGAGUACCGGAGAGG
rnacentral:rRNA from 1 species